CAGGAAGCAGCAGGCGCGCAAAUUACCCACUCCCGGCACGGGGAGGUAGUGACGAAAAAUAACGAUACGGGACUCAUCCGAGGCCCCGUAAUCGGAAUGAGAACACUUUAAACCCUUUAACGAGUAUCCAUUGGAGGGCAAGUCUGGUGCCAGCAGCCGCGGUAAUUCCAGCUCCAAUAGCGUAUAUUAAAGUUGCUGCGGUUAAAAAGCUCGUAGUUGGAUCUGUGUCCCACGCUGUCGGUUCACCGUUCGUCGGUGUUUAACUGGCAUGCCCGUGUGGACGUCCUGCUGGUGGAUGCGGUCGGCCGUGGGCCUUCGGGUUCUGCGCGUCGGCGGUCCGAUUCAAUCCUACCGCGGUGCUCUUCACCGAGUGUCGAGGUGGGCCGGCACGUUUACUUUGAACAAAUUAGAGUGCUUAAAGCAGGCAGUGGUUCGCCUGAAUAUUGUGUGCAUGGAAUAAUGGAAUAGGACCUCGGUUCUAUUUUGUUGGUUUCCGGAACUUGAGGUAAUGAUUAAUAGGGACAAACGGAGGCAUCCGUAUUGCGACGUUAGAGGUGAAAUUCUUGGAUCGUCGCANGACGAACUUAAGCGAAAGCAUUUGCCGAGCGUGUUUUCACUAAUCAAGAACGAAAGUUAGAGGUUCGAAGGCGAUCAGAUACCGCCCUAGUUCUAACCAUAAACGAUGCCAGCCAGCGAUCCGCCGAAGUUCCUCCGAUGACUCGGCGGGCAGCUUCCGGGAAACCAAAGCUUUUGGGUUCCGGGGGAAGUAUGGUUGCAAAGCUGAAACUUAAAGGAAUUGACGGAAGGGCACCACCAGGAGUGGAGCCUGCGGCUUAAUUUGACUCAACACGGGAAACCUCACCAGGCCCGGACACCGGAAGGAUUGACAGAUUGAGAGCUCUUUCUUGAUUCGGUGGGUGGUGGUGCAUGGCCGUUCUUAGUUGGUGGAGCGAUUUGUCUGGUAUC
rnacentral:rRNA from 1 species